rfam:Oryza sativa Indica Group cultivar 93-11 Ctg035822, whole genome shotgun sequence.
AGUAAGCGCAGCCACAAAUUUUCAUGUCCAACUUUGAUCAUCCGUUUAUUUAAAAAAAAAUUUAUGAUUAACAUUUUUAUUGUUAUUAGAUUAUAAAACAUAAGUUGUACUUUAUACGUAACUUAUGUAUUUUUAGUUAUUUGAAAAAAAUUUCAAAUAAGACGGACGAUUAAAGUUGAACAUAAAAAAUCAUGGUUGCGCUUAUU